CAGCAGCCGCGGGAAUACGUAGGGUGCGAGCGUUAAUCGGAUUUACUGGGCGUAAAGCGUGCGCAGGCGGCCCGUUAAGACAGGUGUGAAAUCCCUGGGCUCAACCUAGGAAUUGCGCUUGUGACUGGCGGGCUCGAGUACGGUAGAGGGGGGUGGAAUUCCUGGUGUAGCAGUGAAAUGCGUAGAGAUCAGGAGGAACACCAAUGGCGAAGGCAGCCCCCUGGGCCUGUACUGACGCUCAUGCACGAAAGCGUGGGGAGCAAACAGGAUUAGAUACCCCAGUAGUCCCUGUCUCUUAUAA
rnacentral:rRNA from 1 species